CUGCUGCCUUCCGUAGGAGUUUGGGCCGUGUCUCAGUCCCAAUGUGGCCGUUCACCCUCUCAGGCCGGCUACUGAUCGUUGCCUCGGUAGGCCAUUACCCCACCAACUAGCUAAUCAGACGCGGAACCAUCGUAUACCACCAGAGUUUUUCACACCGCUUCAUGCGAAGCUGUGCGCUUAUGCGGUAUUAGCACCUAUUUCUAAGUGUUAUCCCCCAGUAUACGGCUAGGUUUUCCACGUCGUUACUCACCCGUCCGCCAA
rnacentral:rRNA from 1 species